rnacentral:rRNA from 1 species
GUGCCAGCAGCCGCGGUAAUACCAGCUCUCCGAGUGGUGUGGAUGUUUAUUGGGCCUAAAGCAUCCGUAGCUUGCUGAGCAAGUCCCCUGUUAAAUCCAGCGAAUUAAUUGUUGGUGUGCGGGGGAUACUGCUCGGCUAGGGGACGAGAGAGGCAGACGGUAUUUUCGGGGUAGGGGUGAGAUCCUAUAAUCCCGAGAAGACCACCAGUGGCGAAGGCUGUCUGCUAGAACGCGCCCGACGGUGAGGGAUGAAAGCUGGGGGAGCGAACCGGAUUAGAUACCCUCGUAGUCC